rnacentral:rRNA from 1 species
UACAGGGGGUGCAAAGCGUUGCUCGGAAUCAUUGGGCGUAAAGCGCACGUAGGCGGUUCGUUAUGUCGGAUGUGAAAGCCCUUGGCUUAACCCGAGGAAGUGCAUCCGAAACUGGCGAGCUAGAGUACGAAAGAGGAUCGCGGAAUUCCCGGUGUAGAGGUGAAAUUCGUAGAUAUCGGGAGGAACACCGGUGGCGAAGGCGGGCGAUCUGGGUCGAUACUGACGCUGAGGAGCGAAAGCGUGGGGAGCGAACAGG